rnacentral:sRNA from 12 species
CCUUUGGAGUGCUAUAUCAAACAAUAUUAGGUUUAUACCGAGGUUGGGCACGAAGAAUAAGGAA